rnacentral:rRNA from 1 species
UACGAAGGGGGCUAGCGUUGCUCGGAAUUACUGGGUGUAAAGGGAGCGUAGGCGGGUUGACAAAUUGGAGGUGAAAGCCCAGGGCUCAACCCUGGAAUUGCCUUCAAAACUGUCAGCCUUGAGUAUGGAAGAGGUAAGUGGAACUCCGAGUGUAGAGGUGAAAUUCGUAGAUAUUCGGAAGAACACCAGUGGCGAAGGCGACUUACUGGUCCAUGACUGACGCUGAGGCUCGAAAGCGUGGGGAGCAAACAGG